UACGGGGGGGGCAAGCGUUGUUCGGAAUUACUGGGCGUAAAGGGCUCGUAGGCGGCCAACUAAGUCCGACGUGAAAUCCCAAGGCUUAACCUUGGAACUGCGUCGGAUACUGGAUGGCUUGAAUCCGGGAGAGGGAUGCGGAAUUCCAGGUGUAGCGGUGAAAUGCGUAGAUAUCUGGAGGAACACCGGUGGCGAAGGCGGCAUCCUGGACCGGCAUUGACGCUGAGGAGCGAAAGCCAGGGGAGCAAACGGG
rnacentral:rRNA from 1 species